rnacentral:rRNA from 1 species
UACGGAGGGGGCUAGCGUUGUUCGGAAUUACUGGGCGUAAAGCGCGCGUAGGCGGCUUUGUAAGUUAGAGGUGAAAGCCCGGAGCUCAACUCCGGAAUUGCCUUUAAGACUGCAUCGCUAGAAUCAUGGAGAGGUGAGUGGAAUUCCGAGUGUAGAGGUGAAAUGCGUAGAUAUCUGGAGGAACACCGGUGGCGAAGGCGGCAUCCUGGACCGGCAUUGACGCUGAGGCGCGAAAGCCAGGGGAGCAAACGGG